GCGAAAGUGGCGGAACUGGAAGACGCGCCAGACUUAGGAUCUGGUGGCCUCGUGCCGUGGGGGUUCGAAUCCCCCCUUUCGCACCA
rnacentral:tRNA from 1 species